rnacentral:rRNA from 1 species
AACGUAGGAGGCGAGCGUUAUCCGGAUUUACUGGGCGUAAAGCGCGUGCAGGCGGUUUGGUAAGUCGGACGUGAAAAUCCGGGGCUCAACCCCGGACCUGCAUCCGAAACUGCCCGACUAGAGGUAGGUAGGGGAGAUCGGAAUUCCUGGUGGUAGCGGUGAAAUGCGCAGAUAUCAGGAGGAACACCAAUGGCGAAGGCAGAUCUCUGGGCCGUAACUGACGCUGAGGAGCGAAAGCAUGGGGAGCGAACAGG